CUUCGUGGUUGUGUCAACCCAGUUGUUGUCUGAUUAAAAGUUAAUGCACGUGAACUGUGAGAGUUACAGAAUCUUAGUGGUACAUUCGUAUUCGACUUCGAAUAAUAAUUUAAAAAAUGAUUUACUCAAUUAUUUCUGGACACCCUGUGGAUUGAUACACGUGUAGCGUGACAGACACGUGCGAACGGACGAAGCUUCGAAGAGGAAUGACGCAUUACGCCACACUCCACGCACCUUACCCUCCAACGAUGAAUCUGAUUGGUCGAAAUAAGAGGACGCCAUAAUGAGACGACCAAUCAUAGCCAUUGAUACAAAUUUGAGAUUGCUUCGAAAUAAGGGAAAAGAUUUAAUCUCACUUUGUUAUAAACGCGUGCACUCACAACGAAGUUGUGGAAGGAAGUGACGUAAUUAGGCAGACCUGCGCACAUCGCCGAAAACGACGAUUCUGAUUGGUCGAAAUAGGACAACACCUAUCUUGAUUUAACUUUUAUUUACUUGUAAUUAUGU